GACGAACGCUGGCGGCGUGCUUAACACAUGCAAGUCGAGCGAUGAAGUUCCUUCGGGAACGGAUUAGCGGCGGACGGGUGAGUAACACGUGGGUAACCUGCCUCAUAGAGGGGAAUAGCCUUCCGAAAGGAAGAUUAAUACCGCAUAAGAUUGUAGUACCGCAUGGUACAGCAAUUAAAGGAGCAAUCCGCUAUGAGAUGGACCCGCGUCGCAUUAGCUAGUUGGUGAGGUAACGGCUCACCAAGGCGACGAUGCGUAGCCGACCUGAGAGGGUGAUCGGCCACAUUGGGACUGAGACACGGCCCAGACUCCUACGGGAGGCAGCAGUGGGGAAUAUUGCACAAUGGGGGAAACCCUGAUGCAGCAACGCCGCGUGAGUGAUGACGGUCUUCGGAUUGUAAAACUCUGUCUUCAGGGACGAUAAUGACGGUACCUGAGGAGGAAGCCACGGCUAACUACGUGCCAGCCGCCGCGGUAAGAC
rnacentral:rRNA from 1 species